AAUGGAAACAGUAAAGCCAAUAAAGUCAAGUCUUUUCACUACUGCAAAAUAAAGGAGUAAAAAACCAAUGAAAAGAGGAUGGUAUUGGCAAAGAAAGAAAAUGGUAUUACAAAUCGUGUAGAUCCCAUGAAGAAAAAUCCAAUACAUACUAAGUAUUAGAGGGGGCAAAGGAAAUAAAUAUUAGAAUUGACAACUUAGAGUGUAACUUGGAGAGCUCAUGUUAUAGACUUAGAAUUAUUGUAGGA
rnacentral:misc_RNA from 1 species